CGAACGGCAGCGGGGAGGAGCUUGCUUCUCUGCCGGCGAGUGGCGAACGGGUGAGUAAUACAUCGGAACGUGUCGAGAAGAGGGGGAUAACCACCCGAAAGGGUGGCUAAUACCGCAUAAAUUCUGAGGAAGAAAGCUGGGGACCUAGGAAUAGGCCUAGCGCUUUUUGAGCGGCCGAUGUCGGAUUAGCUAGUUGGUGAGGUAAAGGCUCACCAAGGCGAAGAUCUGUAGCGGGUCUGAGAGGAUGAUCCGCCACACUGGGACUGAGACACGGCCCAGACUCCUACGGGAGGCAGCAGUGGGGAAUUUUGGACAAUGGGGGCAACCCUGAUCCAGCCAUGCCGCGUGUAUGAAGAAGGCCUUAGGGUUGUAAAGUACUUUUGUUAGGGAAGAAAAGUCAGCUGUGAAUAAUGGCUGAUACUGACGGUACCUAAAGAAUAAGCACCGGCUAACUACGUGCCAGCAGCCGCGGUAAUACGUAGGGUGCGAGCGUUAAUCGGAAUUAUUGGGCGUAAAGCGAGUGUAGACGGUUAUUUAAGCCAGAUGUGAAAUACCCGAGCCUAACUUGGGAGGUGCAUAUGGAACUGGGUAGCUAGAGUGUGUCAGAGGGAGGUAGAACUCCACGUGUAGCAGUGAAAUGCGUAGAGAUGUGGAGGAAUACCGAUGGCGAAGGCAGCCUCCUGGGAUAACACUGACGUUGAGGCU
rnacentral:rRNA from 1 species